rnacentral:tRNA from 1 species
GGGUGGAGCAGCACGGUAGCUCGUCGGGCUCAUAACCCGAAGGUCGCAGGUUCAAAUCCUGUCCCCGCAACCA